CUCGUCAUGCUCACUUUUGGAUCGUAUCUCUGCUGCUCCCGACUGCAUGCAAGGCUUCAGUAUUAGUGCCAGAAGCAUGCAGAUGCUGAUUUCCAGAACAAAAUAAUCUCUGGUGGAUACAGUAAUCUGUCAUCUUCACCUCUGUGCCAGGGAGAACAAUGACCCAGACCCUUCUGGAAACUACGCUGAGGUGCAUGGAAGAGAGGGAGGUGAUACUGGACAACCAGCAUAGAUUCACAAGGGGCAAGUUCAGUCUGACCCACGUAGUGGCCUUCUAUGAUGGCAUACUCUCUCAACGGACCAGAGAGGAGCCCCUGUUGUCACCUCUUUAGGCUUCAGUAUGACCAUCGGCGCAGUCUCCUACAAUAUCCUUCUCUCCAGCUUGGCAAGAUAUAGAUUUGGUGGGUGGACUGUCUGAUGGAUGAAGAACUAGUUGUGAGGGGGCAGAACCAGGACAGCUAACUCAAACCAGCCAAAGGAAUGUCCCCUAUCAAGCAGUGUUGUGACCAAGCAGUAAAACUGUAGGAGCUGGCUAAGGAAACAGCUACUGCUCAGGAGCUGGCUGAACAUCAGUCAGUGGCAGUGAGCAAUUGCAUCGUGCAUCACUUGUUUUGAAUAUUCUUUUAUUAGUAGUAGUGUUAUCAUCAUCAUCAUAAUUUCCCCUUCAUUUUAAGUUCUAUUAAAACAUCUUUAUCUUAACCCAUGAGUUUUACCUUUCUUUUUUUCUCAUUCUUUCUCUCCUCUUACUACAGGGGAUUGAGAGAUGAAUCAGCCCUGUAUUGCUGU